UACGUAGGGUGCAAGCGUUGUCCGGAAUUAUUGGGCGUAAAGAGCUCGUAGGCGGUCUGUCGCGUCUGCUGUGAAAACCUAGGGCUUAACUCUGGGCGUGCAGUGGGUACGGGCAGGCUAGAGUGCGGUAGGGGAGACUGGAAUUCCUGGUGUAGCGGUGAAAUGCGCAGAUAUCAGGAGGAACACCGGUGGCGAAGGCAGCGCUCUGGUCGGCAUCUGACGCUGAGAGGCGAAAGCGUGGGGAGCGAA
rnacentral:rRNA from 1 species